rnacentral:rRNA from 1 species
UACGUAGGGGGCAAGCGUUGUCCGGAUUUAUUGGGCGUAAAGAGCGUGUAGGCGGUCGUGUAAGUCGAAUGUGAAAGCCCCCGGCUCAACUGGGGAGGGUCAUUCGAUACUGCUCGACUCGAAGGCAGGAGAGGGAAGCGGAAUUCCCGGUGUAGUGGUGAAAUGCGUAGAUAUCGGGAGGAACACCAGUGGCGAAGGCGGCUUUCUGGCCUGUUCUUGACGCUGAGGCGGCGAAAGCUAGGGGAGCAAACGGG